ACCCCCGCCGCCGGGUUCCUGCGGUGACACACGCGCGGCCGCUGGGGGGGGAGACAGCAGUGCGUGCCCGCACCGUUUGCUCUGGGCUGCGUGAGAGCUGCCUGAGCCGGGGAGCCAGAGAUGGGUUGGCCUGAGCAAGCCAAGAGGGUCUCAGAACCACUGCGUUCUUCUGUCCCUAAUUCUGGAUGCCGUGUCGGGGUCUCGGUCUCAUAUCCCAUUUAACCUCCUUAGGACAACGUAGAGUGGAAGGGUGGAAAUCUACCUCUUUAUUAAUCCUUCCAAUCAGAUGGACGAACCCUAUGUUUCUACGCAACAGUUCUGGGAGGGUGGGAGCGAAGGAAGGCAGGAGGGACACUUUCUUAAGGACAGAUGAAAGAAUCCGAUCCGAGAGCGGGAUGAGAGGCCACGCCAGCCGCAAACCUAAAGCACAGCCUCCAAGUCACGACUUGAGUAAAAGCAAACCUUUAGCCAAACCACCUAGACCUCACUGGGCCUCUCCCCUCCUGCCUGCUGGCAUCAGAGUCUCUGGCUUUCCGUGGCCAGCCUGUGAGCAGUGGCGGCUUUCCAAAAUGCUACGGAGAAGCACAUCAAAUGUCUUCUCUGCCGCUGACCGGAGCCUAGGGUGAGAAGGGACCUUCUGAACAGGACCUCCCUCGCCCCCAGCGCCGUCCGCGAGGGACUUCCCCAGUGCUCGCAUAAGGGAGGUAUCCGCCUUCCACCUGCAGAUUCCCAGCCCUCCCUGCGUGGAAACUCACACUUAAAAUCUGGUGAAAAUUCCAACUAAAAGGCUACUCCCUGCCUUCAGGUCGGGGUUUGAAAUGAGAGUUCUCCACUACUCCUGCCACCUGGCUUUUGCUUCACUACUGUGGAUGCUAAUCUUCUGGACCUGUGAACCCAGUUUCCUCGGUCACUGUGUAUAUUAUCACUGCAAGAGAAAAGAGCUGCUUUGUUGAGCUGUUGAAUCCAUUUUGGAUGAAAUUAACUAAUUCAAGAACAAAUACUCCAGUGGAAAGCCUGUGUCCUGGUCACACCCCAGCCUGUGGAACUCUCUUCAGACAUUUCAUCCCUGGAGCUUUCCAUGAACAGUUCAGGCCACCAGACAGGCAGAGCCUUCAUCCAGUGGCUGAUGGAAGCAGAAGCAGACACCCACAGCUAAGCACUGAGCC